AUUGAACGCUGGCGGCAUGCCUUACACAUGCAAGUCGAACGGUAACGCGGGGCAACCUGGCGACGAGUGGCGAACGGGUGAGUAAAGCAUCGGAACGUGCCCAGUAGUGGGGGAUAGCCCGGCGAAAGCCGGAUUAAUACCGCAUACGACCUAAGGGUGAAAGGGGGGGAUCGCAAGACCUCUCGCUAUUGGAGCGGCCGAUGUCAGAUUAGGUAGUUGGUGGGGUAAAGACCUACCAAGCCGACGAUCUGUAGCUGGUCUGAGAGGACGACCAGCCACACUGGGACUGAGACACGGCCCAGACUCCUAGGGGAGGCAGCAGUGGGGAAUUUUGGACAAGGGGCGCAAGCCUGAUCCAGCCAUGCCGGGUGAGGGAAGAAGGCCUUCGGGUUGUAAACCGCUUUUGUCAGGGAAGAAAUCCUUUGGGUCAAUACCUCGGGGGGAUGACGGUACCUGAAGAAUAAGCACCGGCUAACUACGUGCCAGCAGCCGCCGUAA
rnacentral:rRNA from 1 species